rnacentral:rRNA from 1 species
GCACAUGCUGUGAGCUCGAUGAGUAGGGCGGGACACGUGGUAUCCUGUCUGAAUAUGGGGGGACCAUCCUCCAAGGCUAAAUACUCCUGACUGACCGAUAGUGAACCAGUACCGUGAGGGAAAGGCGAAAAGAACCCCGGCGAGGGGAGUGAAAAAGAACCUGAAACCGUGUACGUACAAGCAGUGGGAGCACGCUUAGGCGUGUGACUGCGUACCUUUUGUAUAAUGGGUCAGCGACUUAUAUUCUGUAGCAAGGUUAACCGAAUAGGGGAGCCGAAGGGAAACCGAGUCUUAACUGGGCGUUAAGUUGCAGGGUAUAGACCCGAAACCCGGUGAUCUAGCCAUGGGCAGGUUGAAGGUUGGGUAACACUAACUGGAGGACCGAACCGACUAAUGUUGAAAAAUUAGCGGAUGACUUGUGGCUGGGGGUGAAAGGCCAAUCAAACCGGGAGAUAGCUGGUUCUCCCCGAAAGCUAUUUAGGUAGCGCCUCGUGAAUUCAUCUCCGGGGGUAGAGCACUGUUUCGGCAAGGGGGUCAUCCCGACUUACCAACCCGAUGCAAACUGCGAAUACCGGAGAAUGUUAUCACGGGAGACACACGGCGGGUGCUAACGUCCGUCGUGAAGAGGGAAACAACCCAGACCGCCAGCUAAGGUCCCAAAGUCAUGGUUAAGUGGGAAACGAUGUGGGAAGGCCCAGACAGCCAGGAUGUUGGCUUAGAAGCAGCCAUCAUUUAAAGAAAGCGUAAUAGCUCACUGGUCGAGUCGGCCUGCGCGGAAGAUGUAACGGGGCUAAACCAUGCACCGAAGCUGCGGCAGCGACGCUGAUGCGUUGUUGGGUAGGGGAGCGUUCUGUAAGCCUGCGAAGGUGUGCUGUGAGGCAUGCUGGAGGUAUCAGAAGUGCGAAUGCUGACAUAAGUAACGAUAAAGCGGGUGAAAAGCCCGCUCGCCGGAAGACCAAGGGUUCCUGUCCAACGUUAAUCGGGGCAGGGUGAGUCGACCCCUAAGGCGAGGCCGAAAGGCGUAGUCGAUGGGAAACAGGUUAAUAUUCCUGUACUUGGUGUUACUGCGAAGGGGGGACGGAGAAGGCUAUGUUGGCCGGGCGACGGUUGUCCCGGUUUAAGCGUGUAGGCUGGUUUUCCAGGCAAAUCCGGAAAAUCAAGGCUGAGGCGUGAUGACGAGGCACUACGGUGCUGAAGCAACAAAUGCCCUGCUUCCAGGAAAAGCCUCUAAGCAUCAGGUAACAUCAAAUCGUACCCCAAACCGACACAGGUGGUCAGGUAGAGAAUACCAAGGCGCUUGAGAGAACUCGGGUGAAGGAACUAGGCAAAAUGGUGCCGUAACUUCGGGAGAA